rnacentral:rRNA from 1 species
AUGUACAGAGGGCGUCACACACUCCACCGCACCCCGGUGGUUGAUGCAUGGGUCUGCUGGCGGUUCCGCCUUGCCCGAAGGAAUGCCCUCGAGGCGUUGUUGGAAGCAGGGGCGCCGGCGGCUGUGGGCUAUGGCCAGGAAGAUGAGGCAUGCUCUCCUUUCAUGCCCAACCAGUACCUCUGCUUCAACCAGCCAGAUUGUUUGCUGGGACCGGCAAUGAUUUUUGCUGGAACUAGUGUAUUUAUUUUGCUGGCGAUCAAGCACAUGCUGUCAUUAUUAUGCUGCUACCUUUUUGCUGGAACUAGCUACAAUUUUUACUGGAACCGGCAAUGA